rnacentral:rRNA from 1 species
UGAGGAAUAUUGGUCAAUGGGCGAGAGCCUGAACCAGCCAAAUCGCGUGAAGGAAGACUGCCUUAUGGGUUGUAAACUUCUUUUAUACAGGAAUAAAAAAGGGGACGUGUCCCUUAUUGCAUGUACUGUAUGAAUAAGCAUCGGCUAACUCCGUGCCAGCAGCCGCGGUAAUACGGAGGAUGCGAGCGUUAUCCGGAUUUAUUGGGUUUAAAGGGUGCGCAGGCGGGCUUUUAAGUCAGCGGUGAAAUCUCGGGGCUUAACUCCGAAACUGCCGUUGAAACUGGGAGUCUUGAGUAUGGAUGAAGUAGGCGGAAUUCGUUGUGUAGCGGUGACAUGCUUAGAUAUAACGAGGAACUCCGAUUGCGUAGGCAGCUUACUAAGCCAUAACUGACGCUCAAGCACGAAAGCGUGGGGAGCAAACAGGAUUAGAUACCCCUGGUAGUCCACGCCCUAAACGAUGUCAACUAGUUGUUGGGGGAUUCAUUUUCCUUAGUAACGUAGCUAACGCGUGAAGUUGACCGCCUGGGGAGUACGGUCGCAAGAUUAAAACUUAAAUGAAUUGACGGGGGCUCAUAGCUGUUUUCCUG